rnacentral:rRNA from 1 species
UACGUAGGGUGCAAGCGUUGUCCGGAAUUAUUGGGCGUAAAGAGCUCGUAGGCGGUUUGUUGCGUCGGCUGUGAAAUCCCGAGGCUCAACCUCGGGUCUGCAGUCGAUACGAGCAAACUAGAGUGUUGCAGGGGAGACUGGAAUUCCUGGUGUAGCGGUGAAAUGCGCAGAUAUCAGGAGGAACACCGGUGGCGAAGGCGGGUCUCUGGGCAACAACUGACGCUGAGGCACGAAAGCCAGGGGAGCAAACGGG